rfam:Gossypium hirsutum cultivar TM-1 chromosome 21, whole genome shotgun sequence
UGGACUUAAUUGAAUAAGUUUCAACCUAUUGGUGCAUGCAUCAAACACUCUCCAUAUAAGUAGCGUUUGGUGUUUUCCAAUGUUAUGAUAUGUAAUGUGAUUCCUUGACAUGUGAUUAAUGGGAAUGUGAUUCAUGAGAAAGUUAAUGGAAGAUAUUGAUUAAAAUCCCAUGAAAGUUCCGACUUAGAACUGGUACGGACAAGAGGAAUCCGACUGUUUAAUUAAAACAAAGAUUGUGAUGGUCUCUGCGGAUGCUCACGCAAUGUGAUUUCUGCCCAGUGCUCUGAAUGUCAAAGGGAGUAACUAUGACUCUCUUAAGGUAGCCAAAUGCCUCGUCAUCUAAUUAGUGACGCGCAUGAAUGGAUUAACGAGAUUCCCACUGUCCCUGUUUACUAUCCACCGAAACCACAAACAAGUUUGG